rnacentral:lncRNA from 1 species
CUGCGCUGCCCCCGGCGGCUCCCCCUCCAAGUCCAGGAGGCUGGCGGGGGAGGCGAUGGGCCGGAGCAAGCAGACCCAGGAAGGGCAUUGAGGCAAGGGUGCCUGCAGGGAGCCGGAAGGAGAGAGCCGGGCUCCGGGGUGCAACCGCUCCCCAGGGCUUCCCACAGCUCUUUGCCCUGCCUCGUCUAUUUCCAAAGUCAUUCCCUGUGUACUCUCAAGUCCUCAUGUCACUCAUUCAGCAAGCACGUGCAGACCAGAAAUGUCAUCAGAGCACCGCCCUGGCCUGAGUGGCGGCUCCUCCUACAUCCUCUCCCGCUCCGCCUCCCCCCACAGCUCUUUCCUCCUUCUGCCUCCCUGGUGGAGCCCGCUGCUCCUCAGCCUUCCCUCCAGAGACUCAAAUUCUGCCGCUCUUUCCUUCACAGCCCCUCCCACCAAAACCCCACACCGGCGCGGCGCGGAGACCAGGUGGCCUCUCCCCUAGAGAAUAAGCACGCACUUGGAUAGAGAGAAAUGAGACCGAGCGCUGGCUGCAGGUCCUGCUCCGUCGCUCCCCAGCUAGGGACUCCCUGUCUCUUCACACUGGAUCCCAGGGGGCUUAUUCCAGGGACCAAGAGAAGCCAACCUCUAGCCUUGGGCUGCCACACAGAGUGGCUUGACAUGAUGCCUCGAAUGCAUAAGAAAGCCUUGCUUUUUCCCAUGUCUUCUGUUCUGUGACAAGCUCAGGUGAGAACAGGAGGCUGGGCUGCGGUGGCGCAACUGGUUAAGCUGCCUCUUGAGACACCCCCUCCUGCACUGGGGCGCGAGUUCAAGUCCCGGAUGCACCACCUCUGAUCUGGCUUCCUGCUAUGCACCCAGGGAGGCAGCAGGGGAUGACCCAAGUGCUUGGGCCGCUGGAUGCCCACUCGGGAGACCUGGCUUCUGGCUCCUGGCUUCAGCCUGGCCCAGCGCUGGCUAUUGUGGGCACUUGAGGAGGGAACUAGUGGCUGGAAGAUCAAGCUCUCUCUCUCUCCCUUUCUCUCUCUGCCUUUCAAGUAGGUAAAAAUAAAUGAACUUUAAAAAAAAAGUCA